CCCCCCCUCCCUCCCCCCCUACCUCCCCCCUCCCUCCCUCCUUUCCUCCCUCCUUUCCUCCCCCUCCCUCCUUUCCUCCCUCCUUUCUAUCUACACCUUGUUUACAAAUUAACCUGAUCAGAGGUGUUUGUUACAUAUCUCAGUUUUGUAUUUAUAAGAAGAAGAAAAAAUAUUCAGAAAUGCAAACCAUAAAAAAGGCAGUGACAUCUGCAGGUUGUGGGAUUUAGCCCCAUCCUGCAGAUUCUGGGGUUAAGUCCCAUCCUGUAGGCAGGUUGUGGGAUUUAGCCCCAUCCUGCAGAUUCUGGGGUUAAGUCCCAUCCUGUAGGCAGGUUGUGGGAUUUAGCCCCAUCCUGCAGAUUCUGGGGUUAAGUCCCAUCCUGUAGGCAGGUUGUGGGAUUUAGCACCAUCCUGCAGAUUCUGGGGUUAAGUCCCAUCCUGUAGGCAGGUUGUGGGGUUUAGCACCAUCCUGCAGAUUGUGGGGUUAAGUCCCAUCCUGUAGGCAGGUUGUGGGAUUUAGCACCAUCCUGCAGAUUCUGGGGUUAAGUCCCAUCCAGUCUGCAGGUUCUGGGAUUUAGCACCAUCCUGCAGAUUCUGGGGUUAAGUCCCAUCCUGUAGGCAGGUUGUGGGGUUUAGCACCAUCGUGCAGAUUCUGGGGUUAAGUCCCAUCCUGUAGGCAGGUUGUGGGAUUUAGCACCAUCCUGCAGGUUCUGGGGGUUAAGACCCUGCCCUGUGUUUGCUGAACCAUCAGUGGGCAUGGCAACACGUAUCCUGGCUACACCACUGCGUGUCUCUGUCCCUACCCUCUACAUCCUCUGCUUCCAUAGGUGUUGUGAUGAGAUAGCCCCUCCCCUGUCCUUGUAUGUGCAUGCACGAUGGUUCUUCCACUUAACAAUAACAAUCAAUAAAGUUUGUCAAGAUAA